rnacentral:rRNA from 1 species
UAAAAAGUCAGGCCUGCCCAAUGAAAUUAAUUUAAUGGCUGCAGUAUUUUAACUGUACAAAGGUAGCAUAAUCAUUAGUUUUUUAAUUGAAAGCUGGAAUGAAAGGUUUAAUGAAAAAAUAAUUGUCUCAAUUUAAUUUAUAAAAUUUUAUUUUUAAGUUAAAAAGCUUAAAUAAAUUUAAAAGACGAGAAGACCCUAUAGAGUUUAAUAAUAAUAAAAUUUAUAUUAAUAAAGUUUAAUAAAAAAUAAGAAUUAAAAUUAUUAUUUUAUUGGGGUGAUAAAAAAAUUAAAAAAACUUUUUUUUAAAAAAUCAUUAAUUUAUGUUAAAUUAUUAUUGAUCCAAAAAUUUUGAUUAUAAGAUAAAAUUACCUUAGGGAUAACAGCGUAAUUUUUUUUAAGAGUUCAAAUUAAAAAAAAAGAUUGCGACCUCGAUGUUGGAUUAAAAUUUAAUUUUGGUGAAGAAGCUAAAAUUUUAAGUCUGUUCGACUUUUAAAAUUUUACA